rnacentral:rRNA from 1 species
AGCGAACGCUGGCGGCAGGCUUAACACAUGCAAGUCGAACGGGCUUCUUCGGAAGUCAGUGGCAGACGGGUGAGUAACACGUGGGAACGUGCCCUUCGGUUCGGAAUAACUCAGGGAAACUUGAGCUAAUACCGGAUACGCCCUUUUGGGGAAAGGUUUACUGCCGAAGGAUCGGCCCGCGUCUGAUUAGCUUGUUGGUGGGGUAACGGCCUACCAAGGCGACGAUCAGUAGCUGGUCUGAGAGGAUGAUCAGCCACACUGGGACUGAGACACGGCCCAGACUCCUACGGGAGGCAGCAGUGGGGAAUAUUGGACAAUGGGGGCAAGGCUGGACCAGCCAUGGCGGGGGAGUGGUGAAGGGCUUAGGGGUUGAAAGCUCUUUUUGCCGGGAAGGUAAUGACGGUACCGGAAGAAUAAGCCCCGGCUAACUUCGUG